GCACUGGAGGCAGCGGUUCAUCGAUCUGUUUAUGAGAUUUGUUGUGAAAAAACACAGAACAUGAAUCGGUCGAUAAACCUCUGCAUCCAGCGC
rnacentral:pre_miRNA from 1 species